UACGUAGGGCGCAAGCGUUGUCCGGAAUUAUUUGGGCGUAAAGAGCUCGUAGGCGGUCUGUCGCGUCCGUUGUGAAAACUCGAGGCCUCAACCUCGGGCUUGCAGUGGAUACGGGCAGACUAGAGUGCGGUAGGGGAGACUGGGAAUUCCUGGUGUAGCGGUGAAAAUGCGCAGAUAUCAGGAGGAACACCGGUGGCGAAGGCGGGUCUCCUGGGCC
rnacentral:rRNA from 1 species